rnacentral:rRNA from 1 species
CAGUCGCCGCGGUAAUACGUAGGUGGCAAGCGUUGUCCGGAAUUAUUGGGCGUAAAGGGCUCGCAGGCGGUUUCUUAAGUCUGAUGUGAAAGCCCCCGGCUCAACCGGGGAGGGUCAUUGGAAACUGGGAAACUUGAGCGCAGAAGAGGAGAGUGGAAUUCCUCGUGUAGCGGUGAAAUGCGUAGAGAUGUGGAGGAACACCAGUGGCGAAGGCGACUCUCUGGUCUGUAACUGACGCUGAGGAGCGAAAGCGUGGGGAGCGAACAGGAUUAGAUACCCCCGUAGUCCCUGUCUCUUAUAC